rnacentral:rRNA from 1 species
UACAGAGGUCUCAAGCGUUGUUCGGAUUCAUUGGGCGUAAAGGGUGCGUAGGCGGCGCGGUGAAGUCGGGUGUGAAAUCUUGGAGCUUAACUCCGAAACUGCAUUCGAUACUGCCGUGCUUGAGGACUGGAGAGGAGACUGGAAUUUACGGUGUAGCGGUGAAAUGCGUAGAUAUCGUAAGGAAGACCAGUGGCGAAGGCGGGUCUCUGGACAGUUCCUGACGCUGAGGCACGAAGGCCAGGGGAGCAAACGGG